CCCACAUUGAAGGAGUGUGCUGAGAACAGUAGCAAUCAUAUCUAGGCUUGAUCAAGAGUUCAUGUUAACCAAAAAUUUGUAUUAUUUUUCAAAUACAUGGGCAACUUUCUGGAGAAUGUGAUAAAGGAAACAUUUUACAAGUCUUAGAAGGAGCUGAGGGUCAGUGAAGGUCAAACACUGGAAUUAAAAAGCAUCCUGGGAGAGAUGAAGAUAUGGAGGCUCAAAGAGUUUCACUCACUUAACCUAACGUCACCCAGUUGGUAAGCAGCAGAAUGGACACUUUGUCUGUUUGGCGCCAAAGCCCAUGAUCCUGCAUUCCACGUGGGCCCUGGGGACGGUGCACUUCGGCAGGGCUGGGAUCAACGGAGGUGAAUGAGCCUGAGCUAGCCCACUGGAGGAUAAGAGACCAUGUGUGGACCAGAGUUAACCCAGUUAUCCCAACUGAAG
rnacentral:lncRNA from 1 species